rnacentral:rRNA from 1 species
UACGUAGGGAGCAAGCGUUGUCCGGAAUUACUGGGCGUAAAGGGCGUGUAGGCGGCCGAUCAAGUCAGGUGUGAAAUUUCAGGGCUCAACCCUGAGCGUGCACUUGAAACUGGUUGGCUUGAGUGCAGAAGAGGAAAGUGGAAUUCCCAGUGUAGCGGUGAAAUGCGUAGAUAUUGGGAGGAACACCAGUGGCGAAGGCGACUUUCUGGUCUGUAACUGACGCUGAGGCGCGAAAGCUAGGGGAGCGGACAGG